rnacentral:rRNA from 1 species
GAUGAACGUUGGCGGCGUGCCUAAUACAUGCAAGUCGAGCGAACAGACGAGGAGCUUGCUCCUCUGACGUUAGCGGCGGACGGGUGAGUAACACGUGGAUAACCUACCUAUAAGACUGGGAUAACUUCGGGAAACCGGAGCUAAUACCGGAUAAUAUAUUGAACCGCAUGGUUCAAUAGUGGAAGACGGUUUUGCUGUCACUUAUAGAUGGAUCCGCGCCGCAUUAGCUAGUUGGUAAGGUAACGGCUUACCAAGGCAACGAUGCGUAGCCGACCUGAGAGGGUGAUCGGCCACACUGGAACUGAGACACGGUCCAGACUCCUACGGGAGGCAGCAGUAGGGAAUCUUCCGCAAUGGGCGAAAGCUUGACGGAGCAACGCCGCGUGAGUGAUGAAGGUCUUCGGAUCGUAAAACUCUGUUAUUAGGGAAGAACAAAUGUGUAAGUAACUAUGCACGUCUUGACGGUACCUAAUCAGAAAGCCACGGCUAACUACGUG